CGGGUGAGUAACACGUAUGCAACCUGCCUGCCACAGCCGGAUAAUCGGGAGGAAUUCCGUCUAAUACGGCAUAAUGCAUCGACGGGACAUCCUGUUGGUGCCAAAGGUUGAUUCCGGUGGCGGAUGGGCAUGCGUCGCAUUAGUUAGUUGGCGGUGUAACGGACCACCAAGACGACGAUGCGUAGGGGUUCUGAGAGGAAGGUCCCCCACACUGGUACUGAGACACGGACCAGACUCCUACGGGAGGCAGCAG
rnacentral:rRNA from 1 species